GAUGAACGCUAGCGAUAGGCUUAACACAUGCAAGUCGAGGGGCAGCAUGGUCUUAGCUUGCUAAGACUGAUGGCGACCGGCGCACGGGUGCGUAACGCGUAUGCAACUUGCCUCACAGAGGGGGAUAACCCGUCGAAAGACGGACUAAUACCGCGUACACUUGGGAUAGGGCAUCCUAUCCCAAGGAAAUGAAAUUCGCUGUGAGAUAGGCAUGCGUCCCAUUAGCUAGUUGGUGAGGUAACGGCUCACCAAGGCGACGAUGGGUAGGGGAACUGAGAGGUUGAACCCCCACACUGGUACUGAGACACGGACCAG
rnacentral:rRNA from 1 species